rnacentral:rRNA from 1 species
GAACGGGUGCGUAACGCGUAUGCAACUUACCUUUUACUAGAGAAUAGCCAAGAGAAAUUUUGAUUAAUGCUCUAUGUUCUUAUUAACUCGCAUGAGUUAAUAAGCAAAGCUCCGGCGGUAAAAGAUGGGCAUGCGUCCUAUUAGCUUGUAGGUGAGGUAAUGGCUCACCUAAGCUCCGAUAGGUAGGGGUCCUGAGAGGGAGAUCCCCCACACUGGUACUGAGACACGGACCAGACUUCUACGGAAGGCAGCAGUAAGGAAUAUUGGACAAUGGAGGCAACUCUGAUCCAGCCAUGCCGCGUGAAGGAAGACGGCCUUAUGGGUUGUAAACUUCUUUUAUACAGGAAGAAACCUUUCCACGUGUGGAAAGCUGACGGUACUGUAAGAAUA